AUUGAACGCUGGCGGCAUGCUUUACACAUGCAAGUCGAACGGUAACAGGCCGCAAGGUGCUGACGAGUGGCGAACGGGUGAGUAAUGCAUCGGAACGUGCCCAGUCGUGGGGGAUAACGCAGCGAAAGCUGCGCUAAUACCGCAUACGAUCUGUGGAUGAAAGCGGGGGACCGUAAGGCCUCGCGCGAUUGGAGCGGCCGAAGUCAGAUUAGGUAGUUGGUGGGGUAAAGGCUCACCAAGCCGACGAUCUGUAGCUGGUCUGAGAGGACGACCAGCCACACUGGGACUGAGACACGGCCCAGACUCCUACGGGAGGCAGCAGUGGGGAAUUUUGGACAAUGGGCGCAAGCCUGAUCCAGCAAUGCCGCGUGCAGGAAGAAGGCCUUCGGGUUGUAAACUGCUUUUGUACGGAACGAAACGGUCCUGGUUAAUACCCGGGGCUAAUGACGGUACCGUAAGAAUAAGCACCGGCUAACUACGUGCCAGCAGCCGCCGCCGUAA
rnacentral:rRNA from 1 species